CCUCCUUUAGAGUUUGGAUCCUGGCUCAGAUUGAACGCUGGCGGCAGGCCUAACACAUGCAAGUCGAACGGUAACAUUUCUAGCUUGCUAGAAGAUGACGAGUGGCGGACGGGUGAGUAAUGCUUGGGAACUUGCCUUUGCGAGGGGGAUAACAGUUGGAAACGACUGCUAAUACCGCAUAAUGUCUUCGGACCAAACGGGGCUUCGGCUCCGGCGCAAAGAGAGGCCCAAGUGAGAUUAGCUAGUUGGUAAGGUAACGGCUUACCAAGGCGACGAUCUCUAGCUGUUCUGAGAGGAAGAUCAGCCACACUGGGACUGAGACACGGCCCAGACUCCUACGGGAGGCAGCAGUGGGGAAUAUUGCACAAUGGGGGAAACCCUGAUGCAGCCAUGCCGCGUGUGUGAAGAAGGCCUUCGGGUUGUAAAGCACUUUCAGUUGUGAGGAAAAGUUAGUAGUUAAUACCUGCUAGCCGUGACGUA
rnacentral:rRNA from 1 species